AAAAAGUUAGUUUAUUUAAUAUAAAACGUAAAAUUGUCAAUUUUAAAAAAUGAUUUGUACUUUUUA
rnacentral:tRNA from 1 species